GACGAACGCUGGCGGCGUGCUUAACACAUGCAAGUCGAGCGAUGAAGUUCCUUCGGGAAUGGAUUAGCGGCGGACGGGUGAGUAACACGUGGGUAACCUGCCUCAUAGAGGGGAAUAGCCUUUCGAAAGGAAGAUUAAUACCGCAUAAGAUUGUAGUUCCGCAUGGAACAGCAAUUAAAGGAGUAAUCCGCUAUGAGAUGGACCCGCGUCGCAUUAGCUAGUUGGUGAGGUAACGGCUCACCAAGGCGACGAUGCGUAGCCGACCUGAGAGGGUGAUCGGCCACAUUGGGACUGAGACACGGCCCAGACUCCUACGGGAGGCAGCAGUGGGGAAUAUUGCACAAUGGGGGAAACCCUGAUGCAGCAACGCCGCGUGAGUGAUGAAGGUCUUCGGAUUGUAAAACUCUGUCUUCAGGGACGAUAAUGACGGUACCUGAGGAGGAAGCCACGGCUAACUACGUGCCAGCAGCCGCCGUAAAAC
rnacentral:rRNA from 1 species